AGUACGGCCGCAAGGUUAAAACUCAAAUGAAUUGACGGGGGCCCGCACAAGCGGUGGAGCAUGUGGUUUAAUUCGAUGCAACGCGAAGAACCUUACCUACUCUUGACAUCCAGAGAACUUAGCAGAGAUGCUUUGGUGCCUUCGGGAACUCUGAGACAGGUGCUGCAUGGCUGUCGUCAGCUCGUGUUGUGAAAUGUUGGGUUAAGUCCCGCAACGAGCGCAACCCUUAUCCUUUGUUGCCAGCGAUUCGGUCGGGAACUCAAAGGAGACUGCCAGUGAUAAACUGGAGGAAGGUGGGGAUGACGUCAAGUCAUCAUGGCCCUUACGAGUAGGGCUACACACGUGCUACAAUGGCAUAUACAAAGAGAAGCGACCUCGCGAGAGCAAGCGGACCUCAUAAAGUAUGUCGUAGUCCGGAUUGGAGUCUGCAACUCGACUCCAUGAAGUCGGAAUCGCUAGUAAUCGUGGAUCAGAAUGCCACGGUGAAUACGUUCCCGGGCCUUGUACACACCGCCCGUCACACCAUGGGAGUGGGUUGCAAAAGAAGUAGGUAGCUUAACCUUCGGGAGGGCGCUUACCACUUUGUGAUUCAUGACUGGGGUGAAGUCGUAACAAGGUAACCG
rnacentral:rRNA from 1 species